rnacentral:rRNA from 1 species
CCCUUAGAUGUCCUGGGCCGCACGCGCGUUACACUGAUGCAUUCAACGAGCUUAUAACCUUGGCCGAGAGGCCUGGGCAAUCUUGUUAACGUGCAUCGUGAUAGGGAUAGAUUAUUGAAAUUAUUAAUCUUGAACGAGGAAUUCCUAGUAAACGCAGAUCAUCAAUCUGCAUUGAUUACGUCCCUGCCCUUUGUACACACCGCCCGUCGCACCUACCGAUUGGAUGGUCCGGUGAAGCCUCGGGAUUGUGGUUCUUGCCGCUUUAUUGUGGCGCGACCGCGAGGACUUGUCUAAACCUUAUCAUCUAGAGGAAGGUGAAGUCGUAACA